GGUUAAGCGAAUAAGCGUACACGGUGGAUGCCCUGGCAGUCAGAGGCGAUGAAGGACGUGCUAAUCUGCGAUAAGCGUCGGUAAGGUGAUAUGAACCGUUAUAACCGGCGAUUUCCGAAUGGGGAAACCCAGUGUGAU
rnacentral:rRNA from 1 species